rnacentral:rRNA from 1 species
GAUGAACGCUGGCGGCGUGCUUAACACAUGCAAGUCGAGCGAAGCACUUUUGCGGAUUUCUUCGGAUUGAAGCAAUUGUGACUGAGCGGCGGACGGGUGAGUAACGCGUGGGUAACCUGCCUCAUACAGGGGGAUAACAGUUGGAAACGGCUGCUAAUACCGCAUAAGCGCACAGUACCGCAUGGUACCGUGUGAAAAACUCCGGUGGUAUGAGAUGGACCCGCGUCUGAUUAGGUAGUUGGUGGGGUAACGGCCUACCAAGCCGACGAUCAGUAGCCGACCUGAGAGGGUGACCGGCCACAUUGGGACUGAGACACGGCCCAAACUCCUACGGGAGGCAGCAGUGGGGAAUAUUGCACAAUGGGGGAAACCCUGAUGCAGCGACGCCGCGUGAGCGAUGAAGUAUUUCGGUAUGUAAAGCUCUAUCAGCAGGGAAGAAAAUGACGGUACCUGACUAAGAAGCCCCGGCUAACUACGUGCCAGCAGCCGCGGUAAUACGUAGGGGGCAAGCGUUAUCCGGAUUUACUGGGUGUAAAGGGAGCGUAGACGGCAUGGCAAGCCAGAUGUGAAAGCCCGGGGCUCAACCCCGGGACUGCAUUUGGAACUGUCAGGCUAGAGUGUCGGAGAGGAAAGCGGAAUUCCUAGUGUAGCGGUGAAAUGCGUAGAUAUUAGGAGGAACACCAGUGGCGAAGGCGGCUUUCUGGACGAUGACUGACGUUGAGGCUCGAAAGCGUGGGGAGCAAACAAAAGUAGAUACCCUGGUAGUCCACGCCGUAAACGAAGAAUACUAGGUUUUGGGGGCAAAGCCAUUCGGUGCCGCCGCCAACGCAAUAAGUAUUUCCACCUGGGGAGUACGUUCGCAAGAAUGAAAUUCAAAGGAAUUGACGGGGACCCGCACAAGCGGUGGAGCAUGUGGUUUAAAUUCGAAGCAACGCGAAGAACCUUACCUGGUCUUGACAUCCCUCUGACCGCUCUUUAAUCGGAGCUUUCCUUCGGGACAGAGGAGACAGGAGGUGCAUGGUUGUCGUCAGCUCGUGUCGUGAGAUGUUGGGUUAAGUCCCGCAACGAGCGCAACCCCUAUCUUUAGUAGCCAGCAUUUAAGGUGGGCACUCUAGAGAGACUGCCAGGGAUAACCUGGAGGAAGGUGGGGAUGACGUCAAAUCAUCAUGCCCCUUAUGACCAGGGCUACACACGUGCUACAAUGGCGUAAACAAAGGGAAGCGAGCCCGCGAGGGGGAGCAAAUCCCAAAAAUAACGUCCCAGUUCGGAUUGUAGUCUGCAACUCGACUACAUGAAGCUGGAAUCGCUAGUAAUCGCGAAUCAGAAUGUCGCGGUGAAUACGUUCCCGGGUCUUGCACUAACCGCCCGUCA